CAUGUUGUGACUUUACUUCAUUCCAGCGUCUUUAAUGUGAUGACACUCUUCAUGUCCCAGUUUGGCCAAGUCAGGUACAAUAUGCAGUGAAACUUGCAUUAUGAACCAACAGCUCCAAAUGGCAACCUCCAUCUAAGCAACCACAUUGAACCACCCUGCAAUAUCCAGUGAAUAAUACAUUGUCAUUCUCAUUCUUGAAAGGAACCAUUUAUAUUAGAAAACAUGUUUUGCUGCUGCCUGAAGUCAUUAAGAGUUGGUGUUACAGUGAUAUAUUUCAUUUAGAAGCUGUAUGACAAUUGCAAAAUCCGUUCUACAACAACAAAGUUCCUUAAACUUCUUCUUUAUGAAGAGAAGAAAGAUGCAUCAGUUUAUUAUCCUUCUUCUUUCUAGGUCUGGAUUUUCUUUCAAUAAUCCCAGUUGAUUCACAGUACUGUCCUCCUAUGUUUUUGGAUAGUCUCACCUCAACCUUAACAAGCAGCACGCCUGGCAGCAUCAUCACAUCAGCCAGUCACCACGAAAGCAGCAUGCACGUUAGCUCCUCCAGCAGGAGCAAGACAGGAGUUAUAACCAGCAGUGGAGGCAGUGCUCCUGACAUCAUCUCACUGGACUGAAACAAGAGGCAGCCUCGGAACUCCAGGAGAAAUUGCACAGAGCUGUUUGUUGUAUCUCUGGAACUUCAGCAUCUUGGAAGUUACACUGAUUUUUACUGAAAGGAUUUGCCUUCUGGAAAUGGAAUAAACUCAUCUACACUAGGAACAGAAGUUAUAGACUUUUUUUUUUCUUGCUUGUUAAAUAGCCGGUAGAGAAAAGGCCCCUGCAGAACAUGCUUUUAUGCUUCUGGCUUGUUCUGGGGAAACUGACUUUUUGUUGUUAGAUAGAUUCCACAAAUGGUUUUUAAUUUUGUUGUAAAGCACAGCAAUAAUGUAAAAAACUUUUUUUAAAUAAAAAAGGCACUUAACCACUCUAGAACAACAACCUGGACAACGGUGCAGAAGUGUAUGCAUUGGUGAAUUUUUAAUAUUUUCACUGGGGCCUGUAAUAAACUUCAUUUAAGACAAUGAAGCUUUGUGAAAUAG